rnacentral:rRNA from 1 species
UCAAGAAACUUCCACAAUGGGCGAAAGCCUGAUGGAGCGACGUCGCGUGAUGGACGAAGUGCUUCGGCACGUAAACAUCUUUUAUGUGGGAUGAAAUUAUUGACAGUACCACAUGAAUAAGGGGCUCCUAACUCUGUGCCAGCAGGAGCGGUAAUACAGAGGCCCCAAGCGUUAUCCGGAAUCACUGGGCGUAAAGGGUGUCGAGGCGGUUGUAUUAGUCGUUCGUAAAAUCUACGAGCUUAACUUGUAGGCGGCGAACGAAACGGUACGACUUGAGGUUUGGAGAGGUGCGUGGAACUCACGGUGUCGGGGUGAAAUCCGUUGAUAUCGUGGGGAACACCAAAGGCGAAGGCAGCGCACUGGCCAAAAUCUGACGCUCACACACGAAAGCUAGGGUAGCGAAGAGGAUUAGAUACCCUUGUAGUCCCUGAGCGGGCUGGCAAGGCGCAU